UACGUAGGGAGCAAGCGUUGUUCGGAUUUACUGGGCGUAAAGGGCGCGUAGGCGGCGUGUCAAGUCGAUUGUGAAAUCUCCGGGCUUAACUCGGAACGGCCAAUCGAUACUGACGUGCUAGAGUGCAGAAAGGGCAAUCGGAAUUCUUGGUGUAGCGGUGAAAUGCGUAGAUAUCAAGAGGAACACCGGUGGCGAAGGCGGGUCUCCGGGCAGUAACUGACGCUGAGGAGCGAAAGCGUGGGGAGCGAACAGG
rnacentral:rRNA from 1 species